rnacentral:misc_RNA from 1 species
UCUCCGUUGGCGAACCAGCGGAGGGAUCAUUACCGAGUUAUCAACUCCCAAACCCCUGUGAACAUACCCAACGUUGCUUCGGCGGGACCGCCCCGGCGCCCUCGGCGUCCCGGAACCAGGCGCCCGCCGGAGGACCCAAACUCUUGUUUAAACCAUAGUGGCAUAUUCUGAGUCUCACAAGAAAAAUGAAUCAAAACUUUCAACAACGGAUCUCUUGGCUCUG